rnacentral:lncRNA from 1 species
UUAAAAAUUGUGAAGCAAUGCACUGGUCAAACAAGAGGAGACGUGCUCCAUCACCAUGGAUUCCACUCUGCAUGAUCCUGAUCCUGUUCUUGUUCAUCAUUGGCCCUGGCAUGUUCAAGAUCAUCAAGAUGCUAACAACAGAAGCAGCAGCAGAAGAGGGAAGAAAGGGACGUACCUCGCCCUUUAUACUUGUCUUCCUUGUCGUUCUUCUCAUGACAAUCCAUCUCCGCAGCUCUUCUCACGGCAAUCCAUCUCUGCAGCAGCGUGUCGUUCCCAUCUCGUUGUCAGCGGCCACCAUCAUGUACUUUUAAUUGCAGUACAAGUCUAGGUUUGGCAUGGGGCUUCAUCUUGAUCGGAAUACAACAUCAUCAUCAUCACAAUUUGCUCAGUCUCCUCUAUUCAUUAUCACAUAAGCUUGGAACGGAAGGCCUUGCAGUUAGUAGUUCCUUACCAAACUUGGUAUAGAUUUUU